CGGGGGGCAGCAGUGGGGAAUAUUGGACAAUGGGCGAAAGCCUGAUCCAGCCAUGCCGCGUGAGUGAUGAAGGCCUUAGGGUUGUAAAGCUCUUUUACCUGGGAAGAUAAUGACUGUACCAGGAGAAUAAGCCCCGGCUAACUUCGUGCCAGCAGCCGCGGUAAUACGAAGGGGGCUAGCGUUGUUCGGAAUUACUGGGCGUAAAGCGCUCGUAGGCGGAUCUUUAAGUCAGAGGUGAAAUCCCAAGGCUCAACCUUGGAACUGCCUUUGAUACUGGGGAUCUCGAGUCCGGGAGAGGUGAGUGGAACUGCGAGUGUAGAGGUGAAAUUCGUAGAUAUUCGCAAGAACACCAGUGGCGAAGGCGGCUCACUGGUCCGGUACUGACGCUGAGGAGCGAAAGCGUGGGGAGCAAACAGGAUUAGAUACCCCGGU
rnacentral:rRNA from 1 species